CUAAGAAUAUUCCACAAUGGACGGAAGUCUGAUGGAGCGACGCCGCGUGGAUGAGGAAGGCCGAAAGGUUGUAAAAUUCUUUUGCGGAUGAAGAAUAAGCGGGGCAGGGAAUGGCCUUGUGAUGACGUUAGUCCGCGAAUAAGCCCCGGCUAAUUACGUGCCAGCAGCCGCGGUAACACGUAAGGGGCGAGCGUUGUUCGGAAUUAUUGGGCGUAAAGGGCGCGUAGGCGGCCUAGUAAGUCUGAUGUGAAAACCCCGGGCCCAACCCGGGAACUGCAUUGGAAACUGCGAGGCUUGAGUCACGGAGGGGGAAUCGGAAUUCCUGGUGUAGGGGUGAAAUCUGUAGAUAUCAGGAAGAACACCGGUGGCGAAGGCGGAUUUCCAGCCGAUGACUGACGCUGAGGCGCGAAAGUGCGGGGAGCAAACAGGAUUAGAUACCCUGGUAGUCCGCACUAUAAACGAUGCACACCAGGUGUCGGGGCGAGCGUCUCGGUGCCGGAGCGAACGCGAUAAGUGUGCCGCCU
rnacentral:rRNA from 1 species